AGUGGAAUAGCUGGGUCAAAUGAUGGUUCCAUUCCCAGUUUUACAAGGAAUCUCUAUAUUGCUUUCCAGAGUGGUUGUACCAUUUGCAGUCUAACCAGCAAU
rnacentral:pre_miRNA from 1 species